GACGAACGCUGGCGGCGUGCUUAACACAUGCAAGUCGAACGGAAAGGCCCUGCUUUUGUGGGGUGCUCGAGUGGCGAACGGGUGAGUAACACGUGAGUAACCUGCCCUUGACUUUGGGAUAACUUCAGGAAACUGGGGCUAAUACCGGAUAGGAGCUCCUGCUGCAUGGUGGGGGUUGGAAAGUUUCGGCGGUUGGGGAUGGACUCGCGGCUUAUCAGCUUGUUGGUGGGGUAGGGGCUUACCAAGGCUUUGACGGGUAGCCGGCCUGAGAGGGUGACCGGCCACAUUGGGACUGAGAUACGGCCCAGACUCCUACGGGAGGCAGCAGUGGGGAAUAUUGCACAAUGGGCGGAAGCCUGAUGCAGCAACGCCGCGUGCGGGAUGACAGCCUUCGGGUUGUAAACCGCUUUCGCCUGUGACGAAGCGUGAGUGACGGUAAUGGGUAAAGAAGCACCGGCUAACUACGUG
rnacentral:rRNA from 1 species